UCUUAGGUGAUCUCAGUAAGCGGGGAAGAAGCAGGAUAGGCCAGACACAACAUUAGUGUCCCGGGGCUUGGACUGGAGUCAAAUAACUGGUCUGCCUUCCCCAAAGAGAGAUUAUUCUGCCUGAAGACCUCCUGGCAACUCGGGAGCAUCGCUGACAUGGUGGCCGGCCCUGAGACAGCCUUUACCCGGAAGACUUUGUGAAAGAUACUCCCUGGGGUCUGUGUGCUGGGACAGGGAAAAGGGACUGGAGAAAAGAAAUACAUUUGUCUUCUCUCAGCCAACACUGGUUCGCCUGCCUGCACGGUGAGCUCCAAAUGACUCCGUUUGAGACUUUUUUGAGGGACACUUGCCCUUGGAACCCAGCCACCAUGUUGUAAGGAGGUCGAGGACAUGUGCAGAGGCUGCAUCCGGGCAUUCCAUCUGACAACUCUCACCAGGCUCCAGGCAGCCGCUAGCAUUAAUUGCCAGACACGCACGUGAACAAACCUUUAAAUUAUUCCAGGCCACGGCGUUCUAUGCUUACGUCAGAGGUCCCAGACAGCAUGGAGCAGAGACACCUAUCCCUACCAGGCCCUGUUUGAACUCCCAACCCACAGAAACUGUAAGAAAUAAUACAUAUUUAUUGUUGCGUUAAGCCGCAGGUUUGGGGACAAUUUGUCAUGCAGCAGUAGA